AUUGAACGCUGGCGGCAGGCCUAACACAUGCAAGUCGAACGAGUGGCGGACGGGUGAGUAAUGUCUGGGAAACUGCCCGAUGGAGGGGGAUAACUACUGGAAACGGUAUCUAAUACCGCAUACCAUCGGAUGUGCCCAGAUGGGAUUAGCUGGUAGGUGGUGUAACGGCUCACCUAGGCGACGAUCCCUAGCUGGCCUGAAAGGAUGACCAGCCACACUGGAACAGAGACACGAUCCAGACUCCUACGGGAGGCAGCAGUGGGGAAUAUUGCACAAUGGGCGCAAGCCUGAUGCAGCCAUGCCGCGUGUAUGAAGAGGGCCUUCGGGUGGUAAAGUACUUUCAGCGAGGAGGCGUUACUCGCCGAAGAAGCACCGGCUAACUCCGUGCCAGCAGCCGCGGUAAUAC
rnacentral:rRNA from 1 species